rnacentral:rRNA from 1 species
UACGAAGGGGGCUAGCGUUGCUCGGAAUUACUGGGCGUAAAGGGUGCGUAGGCGGGUCUUUAAGUCAGAGGUGAAAUCCUGGAGCUCAACUCCAGAACUGCCUUUGAUACUGAGGAUCUUGAGUUCGGGAGAGGUGAGUGGAACUGCGAGUGUAGAGGUGAAAUUCGUAGAUAUUCGCAAGAACACCAGUGGCGAAGGCGGCUCACUGGCCCGAUACUGACGUUGAGGCACGAAAGCGUGGGGAGCAAACAGG